rnacentral:rRNA from 1 species
AUACGGAGGAUCCGAGCGUUAUCCGGAUUUAUUGGGUUUAAAGGGAGCGUAGGUGGACAGUUAAGUCAGUUGUGAAAGUUUGCGGCUCAACCGUAAAAUUGCAGUUGAUACUGGCUGUCUUGAGUACGGUACAGGUGGGCGGAAUUCGUGGUGUAGCGGUGAAAUGCUUAGAUAUCACGAAGAACUCCGAUCGCGAAGGCAGCUCACCGGGCCGGAACUGACACUGAUGCUCGAAAGUGCGGGUAUCAAACAGGAUUAGAUACCCUGGUAGUCCGCACAGUAAACGAUGAAUACUCGCUGUUUGCGAUACACGGUAAGCGGCCAAGCGAAAGCGUUAAGUAUUCCACCUGGGGAGUACGCCGGCAACGGUGAAACUCAAAUGAAUUGACGG